UGGGGAAUUUUGGACAAUGGGCGAAAGCCUGAUCCAGCAAUGCCGCGUGUGUGAAGAAGGCCUUCGGGUUGUAAAGCACUUUUGUCCGGAAAGAAAUCCUUGGCUCUAAUACAGUCGGGGGAUGACGGUACCGGAAGAAUAAGCACCGGCUAACUACGUGCCAGCAGCCGCGGUAAUACGUAGGGUGCAAGCGUUAAUCGGAAUUACUGGGCGUAAAGCGUGCGCAGGCGGUUUGCUAAGACCGAUGUGAAAUCCCCGGGCUCAACCUGGGGAACUGCAUUGGUGACUGGCAGGCUAGAGUAUGGCAGAGGGGGGUAGAAUUCCACGUGUAGCAGUGAAAUGCGUAGAGAUGUGGAGGAAUACCGAUGGCGAAGGCAGCCCCCUGGGCCAAUACUGACGCUCAUGCACGAAAGCGUGGGGAGCAAACAGGAUUAGAUACCCUGGUAGUCCACGCCCUAAAACGAUGUCAACUAGUUGUUGGGGAUUCAUUUCCUUAGUAACGUAGCUAACGCGUGAAGUUGACCGCCUGGGGAGUACGGUCGCAAGAUUAAAACUUAAAGGAAUUGACGGGGU
rnacentral:rRNA from 1 species